AAUUAGCGUCUGAUAUAUAACAGACGCAGAUUAGCGUCUGCUUUCUUGUUUUUUAGCGUCCGUUAUUGUAAACCGACGCUAAUUAACGUCCGUUUACAAAAACGGACACUAAUUAGCGUCCGUUAAUUAAAUUGGUGUCCGUUUGGCGGACGCUAUUUUAUUGGUCUUACCAAACCAAUCGACCAAACCGUCCAAUUGGCCUAACUAAGAAUUAAAAUCCUCUCUCUCUCACUCAAUUCUCCCUCAAACUAUUCAUUUUCCUCAGAUCUGGUAUUUCGUUAUUUCUCUCGCGUCAUCGCCGCUUCUCUCUCUGAGCAUCAUCGCCGUCUUCAAGUAUCACCGCCGCUUCUUUAUCAGGAUCCUCUUCUGAAGCCUGCACCAAAGAAGCAGAGUGAGUCUUCAUCAAAGUAGAUCUGUUUCGUUUGCUUGGGUUUGAUAGGAUGACUUUGGAAAGGUUGAAGAUUGAAAAUUUGUAAUAUUGAAGAAGAAAUGAAUUCUUUCUAAUGUAUUAGAUAGAUUUUUUGUUAUUAUUUAUUUAAGUAAGGUUGUAAAUUAUUCACAGAUUUUGAUUUAUAUUGUAAUUACUUUUAUUACAUAUAAUAAUAAUUAUAAUUUUUCCUCUAAA